GCGCAGGUGGCAGAGCGGUCAAAUGCAUCAGACUGUAAAUCUGACGCCCUUGUGGCUACGGGGGUUCGAAUCCCUCCCUGCGCA
rnacentral:tRNA from 1 species